rnacentral:rRNA from 1 species
UACGGAGGGUGCAAGCGUUGUCCGGAUUUAUUGGGUUUAAAGGGUGCGUAGGCGGUUCUUUAAGUCAGUGGUGAAAUACUGCAGCUCAACUGUAGCGUUGCCAUUGAUACUGAAGAACUUGAGUACAGAUGAGGUAGGCGGAAUUUAUGGUGUAGCGGUGAAAUGCAUAGAUACCAUAAAGAACACCGAUUGCGAAGGCAGCUUACUAAGCUGUAACUGACGCUGAGGCACGAAAGCGUGGGGAGCGAACAGG